UGAUAUUUGAAACCGCCGUGACCGAUUUUAUUUUUCCAAAAAACGUGGUAUAUUUUGGGUGUGUAAUGGCGAAUUUAUGAGAGAAAGAGACAGUGUGACUGUGUCAGAUCGCGAUAUCACGUUGUCUCUUUCUAUGCAAAGAUUUGUUUCUACAAUGAAACAAAACAGUUGUCACUGCGCACUUGUAGUGGAAGGUGCUCUCAAAUUUCAGCGAAAACGUGACAUUACGACGAUAUCACUGUUUGGUUGCAAAGAUGGAAUCGCGAUGUAAAAGACUUGUUAAUCUUGCAUUGACAACAGAACAAUCAAAUAUUCCUGUUGCAGGGAUAAGUGCAGAUAAGGACACAACGUUAAGCUUAGGGGAUGCAAGGUCAAAUACAGAGGAAACAAAGUUAAAUGUGGAUGAUGCAGCAAAAAAUCGUCAUCGUUGUGAUUCUACGAGCAGCAGUGGUAGUUCUUCGAGUGACUCAUCAUCAUCAUCGAGUAGCUCAACAAAUACA